UGUAAUUUGGUUUUCAUUUUGUUUGUUGUUCAAUGAUGUGUGUUGAUGUUAAUUGUCCUUGUUUUUCUUUUCUACUCACUAUUGAUUUAGAUGUGGGUGUAAAAUGCAUACCAAGUGCUUGAUGGAAUGCUUAAACCUUCAACUCAUUCACCAAAACGAAGACCAGAAGAUUAUGAAGACGUCAAAGACCACCAAUCACCAAUUGAAGCCAAGCUAAUGCCCGUAAAACAUAAGUUUGUACAAAUGCAAGACUAUAUUGGAGAUAUAUAAUGAUGCUCAGGCUGUUGGGUUAAUCGGGUUUUGUUUGCAGGUCACGGGUCGGCACGUUAUCGGGUCAUGGUUCAAAUGGUUAUUCGUUUAUAGUUCACGGGUAUGGGUCAGUCGAUCACGGGUCAAGUAGCUAAAUUAUCCAGGGGUAAAUGGGUCUUUUGACCAUGUAAAUGGAUGUGACUUCGUGAGAUUGUUGAAGCCUUUUGCAACAAGUUUUGACCAAGUUAUGUGGACGUGAUACAAAUCUUGAAGAAUCAUGUACAAAUGAAGCAAGCCAUUUUAGAGGGGGGAAACUUGGACAUUGUCCAAAGUUUUAAGACACUUUGAGGGCAAUCUAGACAUUUCAUCCAUAGAA